rnacentral:rRNA from 1 species
GCAUAUCAAUAAGCCGGAGGGAAAAAGAAAAAUAACAAUGAUUUCCCCUAGUAACGGGCGAGUGAAGAGGAAAGAGCUCAAAGUUGGAAACUGUUUGGCUUAGCUAAACCGUAUUGUAAACUGUAGAAACAUUUUCCUGGCACACCAGAUUAAUAAGUCCUUUGGAACAAGGCAUCAUGGAGGGUGAGAAUCCCGUCUUUGAUCUGAGUAGUUGUCUUUUGUGAUAUGUUUUCAAAGAGUCAGGUUGUUUGGGAAUGCAGCCUAAAUUGGGUGGUAAAUCUCACCUAAAGCUAAAUAUUUGCGAGAGACCGAUAGCGAACAAGUACCGUGAGGGAAAGAUGAAAAGAACUUUGAAAAGAGAGUUAAACAGUAUGUGAAAUUGUUAAAAGGGAACCGUUUGGAGCCAGACUGGUUUGCUUGUAAUCAACCUAGAAUUCGUUUUGGGUGCACUUGCAGGCUAUACCUGCCAACAACAGUUUGAUUUGGAGGAAAAAAUUAAUAGGAAUGUAGCCUCUCGAGGUGUUAUAGCCUAUUAUCAUACUCUGGAUUGGACUGAGGAACGCAGCGAAUGCCUUUAGGCAAGAUUGCUGGGUGCUUUCGCUAAUAAAUGUUAGAAUUUCUGCUUCGGGUGGUGCUAAUGUUUAAAGGAGGAACACAUCUAGUAUAUUUUUUAUUCGCUUAGGUUGUUGGCUUAAUGACUCUAAAUGACCCGUCUUGAAACACGGACCAAGGAGUCCACCAUAAGUGCAAGUAUUUGAGUGACAAACUCAUAUGCGUAAGGAAACUGAUUGAUACGAAGUCUUUUGAUGGCAGUAUCACCCGGCGUCGACGUUUUAACUGAAAUGACCGAGGUAAAGCACUUAUGAUGGGACCCGAAAGAUGGUGAACUAUGCCUGAAUAGGGUGAAGCCAGAGGAAACUCUGGUGGGAGGCUCGUAGCGAUUCUGACGUGCAAAUCGAUCGUCAAAUUUGGGUAUAGGGGGCGAAAGACUAAUCGAACCCAUCUAGUAGCUGGGUUCUGGCGA